GUGGGGAAUAUUGGGCAAUGGGCGAAAGCCUGACCCAGCAACGCCGCGUGAAGGAAGAAGGUUUUCGGAUCGUAAACUUCUAUCCUUGGUGAAGAUAAUGACGGUAGCCAAGAAGGAAGCCCCGGCUAACUACGUGCCAGCAGCCGCGGUAAUACGUAGGGGGCAAGCGUUGUCCGGAAUGAUUGGGCGUAAAGGGCGCGUAGGCGGCCUGGUAAGUCUGGAGUGAAAGUCCUGCUUUUAAGGUGGGAAUUGCUUUGGAUACUGCUGGGCUUGAGUGCAGGAGAGGUAAGUGGAAUUCCCGGUGUAGCGGUGAAAUGCGUAGAGAUCGGGAGGAACACCAGUGGCGAAGACGACUUACUGGACUGUAACUGACGCUGAGGCGCGAAAGUGUGUGGAGCAAACAGGAUUAGAUACCCUAGUAGUCC
rnacentral:rRNA from 1 species